rnacentral:lncRNA from 1 species
GUCUGCUCCGGGACUUGGAACAAAAGGGGGAACUCUGAUGAACUCUCUCCUCCCCUCUUCCCCGGACGCCCGGGUAUCUCCCUCUCGCAACUUUGCCGCCGCGACUUUCUCCGCUGUCAGGCCACACAAAAGUGUCCGAGCGCCUCGCGGACAGCAACGAGGGAAAGGUCUCCAAAAAGUGCGACCAAGUGGGGAAGAAGGUGAGUGGGGACGGUUGUCUUGUUUACCCCUCUCCCACUGAACUCGCCCCGCUCCCCGCCCUUCGGAGGACAGAGGAGCAGGGCAGUGGCGAAGUUUGGCCAAGUUGUACCUCCUUUCCCCAUUCCCUUCUCUUUUGUUCUUUAACGAACUUGCACAGAUUGUUUUAUUUGUUUAUUUCUAAUAGGCAAAAGCCAGGCGGGCAUUUCUCUCAAGUGCCUCUUUAGAUGAGGAGCUGGGGGGAUGGGGGGAAGGGUGUCUCUAGGGGGCUUUGCCUCCCUUUCUCCCCGCUGCGCGCCGCCGACGGAAGGGAAGCGUGUUGAGAUGGAUAGGGACUUGCCCAGACUCUCCCCCCGCAACCCCCCCCCCGCCCAGCCCCCAGCCCCGCUCUGACUUUGCUUAAGCAAAAGAAAGAGAUGGAGGUGGGGGUCGUUUCCUCACCAUUUUAUAACUUCACAGUCUGCGGAGCGCGGGUCUGAUCCAACGCACAAUACCCAAAGCUAUAACAAUAGAACGCAGAGGAGGUUGGGGUGGUCGGGGGUGGACUCUUCUGUUUGUGGUCCAGAGGGUUGGAGCACACAGGUAAGAGUUCAGAAAGUUUUCUUUGGGGCUGGGGUAGGGUGGAGGAAGAAGCCACAGGUUCCCUAAUGUCAGAGAUGCAGGGAUGGAGGCCUGGACCACUAGUUAGAGUCCGCCAUCCCUUCGGCCCCUUUCAGUUUCACGACCCACCCAGAAUAAGCUCUGUGGUCCUGGCGAUCCAACACACCUCUCUCACUUUGCGCGCCCCCCACCCCCGCCCCAUUUCAACGUGUUUGAGUGGAAAGGGGAACGCGAGCGCCAGAAGCUGCUCAGACUCAGCGGUCCGCCCCGCCUUUUGUGUUUUAACCUUUUGUUUCUGUCUGCCACGCCCGCCCCAAAGAGGGAUGGCUGUGGCUGCUCCUGCAGGGUGGGGAGGCAGCGCAAGGCGCUCCGCGUUCGCAGGCAAAAGGAGACUCCCUAACUUUGUUGCCCAAGGAGCUUCUCUCCGCAGUGUUUCUAGAUUGGUCCUUGCACAGAUGAGGCGCACACGGCACAACUAGUAAACAUCUCCACUUUAUAGGACAUUUCUUUCAGCGUUUUCCCACUUUACCGCAGAAGUUGCUUAUCCGCCUGGUCACUUGGUUCAGAGAAAGACAUUUAAGGACAGAACUUCGGAGUUUGUUGAAAGUGGGUAAACAUAGUAUGUUCUCGUUAUGACUGAAUAUUAAAAAGGUGUGAAACAGGGUUCCUGAAUUAGAAAAUGUAAACUUAGGUCAUUAUCAUCAGGUAUGUUUUGUGGGAUUGUUCCAAAUACCAAGGUAAUUUUAUCAGCACUCUCUUCUCCUUUCACCCCGCCCUGCAACUUUCCUCUCACCCUUUGCCUUUCUCCUACUUCUUUACGGUUUGACAGGACAGAUGAAACAUCAGUGUGUGGGGCUAAUGGCUGAAGGAAACAGCCAAACACAGUUUGUUUGAACUUCUGAAAGUUCCGAUCUUGUAUAGUAGUAUCCAUUAUUUAAAACUUGCUGCUGGAAAUGAUUCUGGUGUCAGAAUCAUGGAGUUUUGCGUUUUCAUGUCAAAGAAAGAAAUAGAUUAAUGCUAUGGCUACUUUUUUUUUUUUAAAAGAGAAGCUGGGGCGUGAUUACCACUGUCAGCGUCUAGAACGCAUCAUGAGUACGCUGAGUUCCUCUGUACUGCAUUGUUCUUAAGGAUCAGUGAUCUUUAUGGACGUACAAUACAACAUCGAGUCAUUCCUGGAUGAAAAGUUAUCAAACUUCGUCCUUUGGAGUUGCUUAAAAGUUAAGAUGUUGGAAUUUUUGAUAAUGCCUUCCCUAUGUGGAUUACUACAAUUUGAUCCCUGGGAAUUCUCCACCUUAAAGAAGAAUUGUCUAGUUAUUUUGAGCUGUUGCCGGAUCAAAGUGAUUUAUGACUUCGGGUUUCCUUGUUUUCAUCUGGGUUUUGUAGGUUUGUUUUCAUGUGGAAUGAUCAUUUGGGUACUUCUAAGCCGAUUUUAUUACUUUUACAAUGUCUUCUUCAACACUAUCACGCAGAGAGAAUGUGGAUUACAUAGUCACUAAGGAAAGUUAUGUAACAAUGAUGGGCCCGAUAGGCAAAUGUCCUAUUUUAUUUAUGAUUGUUUUAGGUUUUAAAUGUCACAGUGAAUGUUUCUGUAUCACCAGAGCUUUUGUGAUUUGCUUUGGUUUUUUCACUUUUGGCAUUUAUUUUGGUAAACGAAAAUCCAAAAGUAGCCAGAAAGAAAUGAAUUCCUAAUAUCUGGGAGUCAAUAUAAAAUACAGUAAGUUCUAUCAGAAUAAAAACUUGACUAUGUAAUAACAUCAGAGGCGGUUUCAUUUGUUUAAUCUUUAUGGUAUACAUUGUUUCCAUAGUGGUCAUUAAGAGUCUUCUUUCUUUUAUGUCUUAUAAUCCAUUCUUGAUCAUCUCUGUGAGAAAGCAUUUAAAAGUUCACAUAAAUACUGUUGGCAAUAUAAAAAACUAUUUUGAUACAGUAUUUACCUUCCUGGUUUAGCAGUUGUGUUUAAUGGAAAGUGAGGAUUUUCUAUGUUUAGAAUAGAUUGCUUUGAAAUGAUUUAAGUUGUAGGAUUUGAUCCUCAAAAUGUUUCAAGUUCAAGGAGGUUUUAUAUCCUACAGAUGGAGAAUAUCAUUGCUAUAUUACUGCAAUUGAGAAAUUAAGGUAUAAUUAAGGUAAUUGGAAAUUGGAAGUUUUUUUAUCCUGCUAUAAGUAAAAGUAUUAUGAUUUGCUUCUUUCUAGUUGUGGAAAGUUGGACAAGCAACUUAAUCAUCCUGAACUUUAGUUUAUCAUCUUUAAAAUAAAAGAUUAGGUUAAAAAAAACUUGAAGAAAUCUUUUAGGGUUAAGAUUUUGUGAUUUGGUGAUUGCUCCUAUAAUUAAGGAACAUCUUCUCUUGUGAAGUUCAUCUUUCAAUUGUUGAACAGUAGAGCUACAGACAUAGAAAACUUUCUGUGUGUUCAUAACAAUUAUUUUGCGUAACUGCUUAGCUCAGGAAUAUUAGUUCAGGAAGUAGGAUUUACAUUUCUGUGAAGUAUACUUUUGGCCAAGUAUGUUGUAUGAAAAUGUCAGGCUUCCUGAGAUGUUUGCAGCAAAAGUUUAUCUGCUGGAAUAUCGGGGGGCGGGGGGGUGUCUGUGUAGAGUGCAGUGUUGCUUCCCAACAAACACUUUACCUAGAGAUAUCGGAAGUGAAUAUAUUCAAUAUGUCUUAAGGGCCACCCUAAGUUGGGCUCAGAUGUUUAGCCAUAGAAUUCGGAAUGAAGCAGACCCCAGUUUGAAUCCCAGCCCAGGAAACUUCUCUUGAUAACCUUGGACAGGUUACUUGAUUUCCUGGAUAUCAGUUUCUCAUUUUUUAAGUAGGGGUCCUAACACUUAUCCCAUAGGGUUGUUGUAGGGAAUAUAUUUUUAAAAAUCAUAAAGGUAAGAAAAAAACUUAACAGGGGGGAGGCAUCUAUAAAUAUGUUUAACUAUAUUAAAAACUACCCCUGUUGCCUUUCAUUAUGAAUCAGUGAGUGACCUUUCCAUACUUCCAACUUUCUUUGUUGACUGCCUUGCAAAUUUCAAGCCAUAUUAACCAGAAGUAGUCACUGAAAUAUUCAGAGUAAGUUUGGAGAGAAGUUUUCGCAUGUUUAGAUUUUUUUGUUCUCUAAAAAUAUGUUCUAUUCAAGUCUUCAUUCAGUUAAGUGUGGAUGAAUUCACUCCAACAAACAUUUAUGAAGUCUUGCUGUGUGUAAGUGUGUUGCCAAAGGUCAUUGCUUCUUCUUGGAAUGUGUGACCUUUCCUUUUCCUUACAGACAUUUCUGUAAAUUGAGAUAAGAGCAAGUUUCUAGAAUUAAUUUAUACAAAUUCUCUAUUUUCAAUGGUGGCAAUGAGGAGUAGACUUAGACAUGGUUUAAAAAAUUUUGUUCAUUCGCUUUUCAGUUAUGAUAUAAAGUGAUGGUUCAGUGAUUUCUUGAUGAGGAAAUCAAGAGCUACAGCACAUUUUCUGAUAUUAGUUUUUUAUAUAUUAUCCCAGUAUAAACAACACUUGGAAGAAUAGCAUAUCAUUGUGAAAUGAAGUUUAAAGUCUCGGAUUUUCAUUUUCUAGAUCUAUAAUUUAGCAAAAUACAUUGCCAUCUCUGAGUGAUCAUUUAGUUUGAGGAAGAUUAUAUUCAUUUACCCGUAGGAAGUUUCUGAUGGGAAUGUUAAAGUACUGCUCCUUCUCAUUUGUAAUUUACCAGCAGAUAGUUGCCUAGAAAUGAUAAUAAUUAAAAAGAAAAUAUGGGAUAAAUCAAUAUUAAAAUGGGAGAAAUUUUUUCUAGCUGUAUGGAAAACUUUGUGGGACAACAUUUAUUUUAAUCAGCAGAUUAUAUAUCUUUAGUAUAGCAACUACUAAUGUAACAAUUUAUAAUUACAGAGUUUAAAAUGAUAGAUUCCUUGAUGUUUUUCUAUAUGAUGUUAAUUCUUAGGUUAUAACCAAAUAUACUUAAUAACUUUACUAAAAGUAUCAGAUUUUAUAGUCUCAGUUAUUUAAAACUGUUUGUUUGACAUGGAUUAAUUUGAAUUAUUGAAACCAGAACAAUCUGCAAAAGUAUUCAUAAGAAAUUUACAUAAGAAGAAAAUCUAAAUAUUCAGCUACGCCUUCUAAAAUGAUAAAUACAACACAUACCAAUAAGCAUCUUAUAAAGCAUUUGUUUAACUUUGAUCUUUAAAAUCUAGGAAGUGAUCAUUGAAUAUUUUGUACAUUUUGACUGCCAUUUCUACUUAUUUAUUUAAGUUUCUUUAAGAGCAUUAGGUGUUUCUAACUUUACUUUGGUUUCUUCUUUAUGGCCUCAAAUUUACUGAUUUUAAAGUGUCAGUCAUUUCUAAGAACUUCAAUGAAUUUCUGCCCGUUACUGUUGAAGACACAGGUGUUUAGAGAUAUAUUUAUUAUGAAUCUAGGAGCUUAUUUUGUUCAUUCGUUCUCUCCUCAUUCACUUUUUUUUUUAAGUCAGGUGCCUUCUAUGUGUCAGAUAUUGCUCUAAGCAUUGUGGAUACAAAAGAAAUAAAAGUCCUUGUGCUCUUGGAGCUAUUCUAGUGACAGUAAAAUAUACAUUUAAAGGGGGCAACUACUACUGAGGAAAAUAAACCAGGAAAGGGAGAUGGGGAGUAGGAGGAAUGGGGGUUGCAGUUUUCUGUGAGAUGGCCAAGGAUAACCUCGUGGAGAAGGUGGCAUUUGAGCAAUGAUAUGAAGGAAGUGAAAGAAUGAGCUUUUGACAAAAGAUGGGCAAAAGCUGAAAUAGGAAGGCCAUUUAGGAAGCUAUUUCAGGUAUCACGUGCGGGAUGAUGGCAGCUUGGAUAAGGGUAAAAGUAGCAUGGAGGUAGCGAGAAGGGAACUGAAAUCUGAAGAUAGUUUGGUUGGAGCGAUUUCUGGUGGACUGGAUAGGAAGAAUGAGAGAAAGAGAGCAAUUGCCUUGGGUUUUUUUUUUUUUUUUUUUUUUUUUGACCUGGGCACCUAGAUGGACCCAGGAAACUAUGAGCUCAGUUUGGGCACACUAAGACUAAGAUACUUCGGAGUUCCUGCCCUGGCACGACAGGAUUGGUAGCAUCUCUGCAGCACCAGGACACAGGUUCAAUCCCUAGCCUGGCGCAGUGGGUUAAAGGAUCAGGUGUUGCUGGAGCUGUGAUGUAGGUUGCAACUGCAGAUCAGAUCUGAUUUCUGGGCCAGGAAUUCCAUAUGCUGUG